rnacentral:lncRNA from 1 species
UACUGGGCGGCAAGAGGCUGCCUGGGAUGCUAGGCCACUUGGGCCGAGCUCAGAUGGAGCAGUCUCCCAACCCCGUACCGCAGUCCCCUGUGACAGAGAAGAGUGAAGCCAUACCGCUAGAGGCCCCGUUCACCAGACCCACCGAACCCCAAGAGGGCAAGGUUGGUGAGACGGUCCAGUCAGCCCCCAGCCCUGUGCCAAGCCUCAUCCCAGCCCACCUCGCCAACGAUAAAGACCCAGAGAGCGACUCUGGCCUCCCCGACCGUUCCUCUGAACCCAACCAGCGCCCCCAGGUGGAGAAAGCUAGAGGCGCCGCAGAGAAUGCAGGAACUGUCUCCUCCUCACCCCCCCCGGUCCUCCUGCAAAGGGACUCCCCCUCCUCGUCCAGACUGAGCCGCAUCCCUGUACGAGACCCAACUACCGCCCCAGAUUCCCCCACCCCCCUCACCACGGAUCGCCGUCACCGCUGGAGCAGCCCCGUGCCCGGCUCGCCCUCCCACUCGCCCUCGCCAUCCCUCUCUUGCGACAACCUGCUGCCCUGUGGUGUCCGGGAGCGUCUCCUGUCCUGCUCAGACCGCGGCUCACGCUCCGACUGGCUUGGGGAGGACCGCGACUCCCUCUCGCUCUCCUCCUCGGGCAGCAGGAGUAAGAUCCCGCGUCCCGUUAACCCCCCUCUUCUGGGGCCCGAGCAGCAUCAGCAGCUCUCCUCCUCCGGCAGGUUCCUACCUCGCCCGCCUCCCGGGAAACCGCCCACCCGCCCGGCUGUAGACAACAGUAGGCACCGGCGGUUCCGGGUACGCGCCAGCAGCACCAGCGAUGCUGACUUCCUGGCCAGCCUGACCCAGCUGAUGAAGGACCGCGGCGGUGCACUCUUCAGUCCACCGCCGCGCCCCCGUAGCUCCUCCUCCUUGCUGCAGCGCUCACUCAGCUCCUCCCCCUCCCGUCACGAGCUCCGCGAGGGGGGUGGGGUCUUCGUGGAGCGCAGCUGCUCUCCGUCCAGCUUCUCGGGGUCCCCUCCCCCUCCGCGGUACCCCCAGGACAGGCUCAGCGGGCAGCAGGGAAUACCGUGGGGUGCAGGGCCCGGUGCCCGAGGGAGGGUCUCCAGCCACGAGGGCAAAGGCAGUGGCAAAGUGAGCCGAUAA